rnacentral:rRNA from 1 species
UGCGCGUCCUACACAUGCAAGUCCAAGGGAGAACGGGGAUUCUUCGGAGUCCCUAGUAAACUGGCGCAAGGGUGAGUAACACGUAGGCAACCUGCCCUACAGUGGGGGAUAACACUGGGAAACCGGUGCUAAUACCGCAUGACAUCCAGAGAUCGCAUGAUCUUUGGAUUAAAGAAAUCCCUGGCAACAGGGUAUCGCUGUAGGAGGGGCCUGCGGCCUAUUAGCUAGUUGGUAGGGUAACGGCCUACCAAGGCGAUGAUGGGUAGCUGGUCUGAGAGGAUGGUCAGCCACACUGGCACUGAGACACGGGCCAGACUCCUACGGGAGGCAGCAGUGAGGAAUUUUGGGCAAUGGGCGAAAGCCUGACCCAGCAACGCCGCGUGGGUGAUGACGUUCUGCGGAACGUAAAACCCUGUUGGGGGGGAUGAAAUUCCUGCAUUGCAGGAAUCGACAGUACCCCCAAAGAAAGCUCCGGCCAACUCCGUGCCAGCAGCCGCGGUAAUACGGGGGGAGCGAGCGUUGUCCGGAUUCACUGGGCGUAAAGCGCGUGUAGGCGGGUUGGUAAGUCAGUGGUGAAAGCCCUCAGCUUAACUGA